AGUGUUGCAGUGCACUUCAUUUGCACUUUUACUGCCUUCUGAUGAGCAGCCUGCAGUCUUAUUUCGGACUUAAGAACUUUAAUAUGUUUUUUUUAACCCUAAUGUCCCAUCAAAUUUGGCAGCAGGGGAGCAGAAUGUGCCAUCCUUCGGACACCCCUGGACUAAAUAUGGAUUUAGGAUUCCUGGACCCCUCCCGCCAGAGAUAUGCCAUGUUUCUUUGCAUCAACAUCUGGCUGUUGGUGAAUUAUUAUUACGCAUCAUGCGGCGAUGGAGGCCAACUACAAUCAGCCGGAGCAGCGGUGGACCUUCACCUUAGACUUUGCGUCCUACCUGCAGGGAUGAUGCCAAUGCGGAGGGAACACGGCACCAAAUUGGCACUGGGCAGGUUUGGGUCUACACCAUGGUCCAUUUGGGUCCUGGCGACCAGCCCGUGCAGGAUCUCACUGAACGUCCCAUCUCCUCCCACGCAUACCACGCUAGGACAACACACAGUAAUGACAACAUCAUGUACUUUUUUGCACAAUCAUUUGGUAGCAAGUUGUAUUUCUAUUCUGUCACUUCUGAAUUUUUUUCACACAAAUUCUGAAGUGAAACUAAAUUAUGAUUUUUUAUUUUUUUUUUCAGAUGUAUUAUAAUUUUGGGGGGGAAAGGUAAAAAAAAAUAUUAAGUUAAAAAAUAGCAUAAAUGUAUUAAAAUAAAGUUACACAUUUUUAAUACAAUGGGAAUUUAUUUAUGGAUUUUUGUUAACAAUUGCAAUACAUAUAGAAUAUAUUAAUGCAUUUUUUUUUUUUUU